rnacentral:rRNA from 1 species
AUUGAACGCUGGCGGCAGGCUUAACACAUGCAAGUCGAGCGAGCGGCGGACGGGUGAGUAAUGCAUGGGAACCUGCCUGAUGGAGGGGGAUAACUACUGGACACGGUAGCUAAUACCGCAUACCAUCAGAUGUGCCCAGAUGGGAUUCGCUAGUAGGUUGGGUAAUGGCUCACCUAGGCGACGAUCCCUAGCUGGUCUGAGAGGUUGACCAUCCACACUUGAACUGAUACACGGUCCAGACUCCCACGGGAGGCAGCCGAGGGGAAGAGUGCACAAUGGGGGGAAGCCUGGUGCAGGCGUGCCGCGUGUGGGAAAUAGGCCGUCGGGUUGGAGGGCACUGUCAGGGGGGAGGCGUUACUCACAGAAUAAGCACCGGGUAACUCCGUGCCAGCCGCCGCGGUAAUUC